UCCCGUGAUGGCAUGAAAUCUUUGAGACCUGACAAUUUUCUUCCUUGAUGUAAAUCAAAAGCAUGAUUUUCGAUC